AUUGAACGCUGGCGGCAUGCUUUACACAUGCAAGUCGGACGAGUGGCGAACGGGUGAGUAACGCCUCGGAACGUACCGAGUAAUGGGGGAUAACUGUCCGAAAGGACAGCUAAUACCGCAUACUAUUCGAGCGGCCGAUGUCUGAUUAGCUGGUUGGCGGGGUAAAGGCUCACCAAGGCGAAGAUCAGUAGCGGGUCUGAGAGGAUGAACCGCCACACUGGGACUGAGACACGGCCCAGACUCCUACGGGAGGCAGCAGUGGGGAAUAUUGGACAAUGGGCGCAAGCCUGAUCCAGCCAUGCCGCGUGUCUGAAGAAGGCCUUCGGGUUGUAAAGGACUUUUGUCAGGGAAGCGGUACCUGAAGAAGAAGCACCGGCUAACUACGUGCCAGCAGCCGCGGUAAUUC
rnacentral:rRNA from 1 species